UACGUAGGGUGCGAGCGUUGUCCGGAAUUAUUGGGCGUAAAGAGCUCGUAGGCGGUUUGUCGCGUCGGCCGUGAAAACUUGGGGCUUAACCCCAAGCCCGCGGUCGAUACGGGCAGACUUGAGUUCGGCAGGGGAGACUGGAAUUCCUGGUGUAGCGGUGAAAUGCGCAGAUAUCAGGAGGAACACCGGUGGCGAAGGCGGGUCUCUGGGCCGAUACUGACGCUGAGGAGCGAAAGUGUGGGGAGCGAACAGG
rnacentral:rRNA from 1 species